rnacentral:tRNA from 1 species
CAAAGAAUAGUUUAAUUAAAACCCUAGUUUUGGGGACUAGGAAUAGGGGUGAAAGACCCUUUUCUUUGA